GAUGAACGCUAGCGGCAGGCCUAACACAUGCAAGUCGAGGGGUAGAGGCUUUCGGGCUUUGAGACCGGCGCACGGGUGCGUAACGCGUAUGCAAUCUGCCUUGUACUGAGGGAUAGCCCAGAGAAAUUUGGAUUAACACCUCAUAGUAUUUUAGUGUGGCAUCACAUUAUUAUUAAAGGUUACGGUACAAGAUGAGCAUGCGUCCCAUUAGCUAGUUGGUAUGGUAACGGCAUACCAAGGCUACGAUGGGUAGGGGUCCUGAGAGGGAGAUCCCCCACACUGGUACUGAGACACUGACCAGACUCCUACGGGAGGCAGCAGUGAGGAAUAUUGGUCAAUGGUCGCAAGACUGAACCAGCCAUGCCGCGUGCAGGGUGAAGCAUCUAUGGUGUGUAAACUGCUUUUGUACGGGAAGAAACACCGCUACGUGUAGCGGCUUGACGGUACCGUAAGAAUAAGGAUCGGCUAACUCCGUGCCAGCCGCCGCAGUAAGAC
rnacentral:rRNA from 1 species